GGGGGGGGGGGGCGGGGGGGGGGGGGGGGGGGGGGCGGGGGGGGGGGCGGGGCGUGGGGGGGGUGGGGGGGGGGCGGGCGGGUGGGGGACGGGGGGGUAACCUGCCCGUGGCUUUGGGGUAACUUCAGUAAACUGGGGCUAAUCCCGGAUAGGCGCUCCCGCUGCAUGGUGGGGGUUGGAACGUUUCGGCGGGUGGGGAUGGCCUCGCGGCGUAUCAGCUUGUUGGUGGGGUAGUGGCUUACCAAGGCUUGGACGGGUAGCCGGCCUGAGAGGGUGACAGGCCACAUUGGGACUGAGAUACGGCCCAGACUCCUACGGGAGGCAGCAGUGGGGAAUAUUGCACAAUGGGCGGAAGCCUGAUGCAGCAACGCCGCGUGCGGGAUGACGGCCUUCGGGUUGUAAACCGCUUUCGCCUGUGACGAAGCGUGAGUGACGGUAAUGGGUAAAGAAGCACCGGCUAACUACGUG
rnacentral:rRNA from 1 species